rnacentral:tRNA from 1 species
AGUGGUUAAGCCGCUCAGCUGCUAACUGAAAGUUCGGUGGUUCGAACCCACUAGCCACUC